GAUGAACGCUGGCGGCGUGCCUAAUACAUGCCAGUCGAGCGAACAGACGAGGAGCUUGCUCCUCUGACGUUAGCGGCGGACGGGUGAGUAACACGUGGAUAACCUACCUAUAAGGCUGGGAUAACUUCGGGAAACCGGAGCUAAUACCGGAUAAUAUAUUGAACCGCAUGGUUCAAUAGUGAAAGACGGUUUUGCUGUCACUUAUAGAUGGAUCCGCGCCGCAUUAGCUAGUUGGUAAGGUAACGGCUUACCAAGGCGACGAUGCGUAGCCGACCUGAGAGGGUGAUCGGCCACACUGGAACUGAGACACGGUCCCGAAUCCUACGGGAGGCAGCAGUAGGGAAUCUUCCGCAAUGGGCGAAAGCCUGACGGAGCAACGCCGCGUGAGUGAUGAAGGUCUUCGGAUCGUAAAACUCUGUUAUUAGGGAAGAACAAAUGUGUAAGUAACUAUGCACGUCUUGACGGUACCUAAUCAGAAAGCCACGGCUAACUACGUG
rnacentral:rRNA from 1 species